rnacentral:lncRNA from 1 species
UAAGGGUCUGGCCCAACCCCAUGUGUCCAACCAUGGCCACCUGUUGCCCCACCGGGCGCCCCACCGGGCCCCAGUGCAAUAGGCCCUCACCAGACUGGACCACCCGGGCCCUGGGCCCAGAGUCCUUUCUCUUCACUGCUGCCUAUCUCAGGUGUCUCGCGGCCAGGAGGUGAGCAGCACCGUGCCCCCCCUCCCCCCGUGGAUGGUCUCCCAGGAAUGAAGAGGUCUUGCAAAGUGACGCAAAUGCAGGGAGCUUCGUGAGCACUCAACAGGGUCAGGUGACUGCCCUGCACUUGUGCCUGACUCCUGCCCUGCCCGUGACAAAGUCUUAGAAAACAUUCCUGUCGCCAUGGUCCUGAGCAGCCAUCCAAGUGAGGAGGGCAUCUGGUGAACCAGCCUGCACAGGUGUCGUGGAGGCUGGCCGCAGUUCUGGCCUCUCUCUGCCACGGCACUGUCCCCACUGUGUGCUCAGCGGCUCCCACGCCCUCCCCUUGUCCCUUUAUUCCCAGAAGCCUACAUCUACACAACACCAUUCUCUUGACAGGAACCUUGAGGCCUGAGGGACCAUGUGAACAAAGUUCCUGACGAGAGCCAGCUGAAGGAGGAACUGGGCUCCCAGUUCAGAGGCUCAGUGCAGGGUGGGCAGACGCCACCACUCUAGGCCUGCGGUGAGGCUGAACAUUUCUGUG